rnacentral:rRNA from 1 species
UACGUAGGGUGCAAGCGUUAAUCGGAAUUACUGGGCGUAAAGCGUGCGCAGGCGGUUGUGUAAGACAGGUGUGAAAUCCCCGGGCUUAACCUGGGAACUGCACUUGUGACUGCACGGCUGGAGUGCGGCAGAGGGGGAUGGAAUUCCGCGUGUAGCAGUGAAAUGCGUAGAUAUGCGGAGGAACACCGAUGGCGAAGGCAAUCCCCUGGGCCUGCACUGACGCUCAUGCACGAAAGCGUGGGGAGCAAACAGG